AGAGUUUGAUCCUGGCUCAGGAUGAACGCUGGCGGCGUGCCUAAUACAUGCAAGUCGAGCGAACAGAUGAGGAGCUUGCUCCUUUGACGUUAGCGGCGGACGGGUGAGUAACACGUGGGUAACCUACCUAUAAGACUGGGAUAACUUCGGGAAACCGGAGCUAAUACCGGAUAAUAUUUCGAACCGCAUGGUUCGAUAGUGAAAGAUGGCUCUGCUAUCACUUAUAGAUGGACCUGCGCCGUAUUAGCUAGUUGGUAAGGUAACGGCUUACCAAGGCAACGAUACGUAGCCGACCUGAGAGGGUGAUCGGCCACACUGGAACUGAGACACGGUCCAGACUCCUACGGGAGGCAGCAGUAGGGAAUCUUCCGCAAUGGGCGAAAGCCUGACGGAGCAACGCCGCGUGAGUGAUGAAGGUCUUCGGAUCGUAAAACUCUGUUAUUAGGGAAGAACAAACGUGUAAGUAACUGUGCACGUCUUGACGGUACCUAAUCAGAAAGCCACGGCUAACUACGUGCCAGCAGCCGCGGUAAUACGUAGGUGGCAAGCGUUAUCCGGAAUUAUUGGGCGUAAAGCGCGCGUAGGCGGUUUUUUAAGUCUGAUGUGAAAGCCCACGGCUCAACCGUGGAGGGUCAUUGGAAACUGGAAAACUUGAGUGCAGAAGAGGAAAGUGGAAUUCCAUGUGUAGCGGUGAAAUGCGCAGAGAUAUGGAGGAACACCAGUGGCGAAGGCGACUUUCUGGUCUGUAACUGACGCUGAUGUGCGAAAGCGUGGGGAUCAACCAGGAUUAGAUACCCUGGUAGUCCACGCCGUAAACGAUGAGUGCUAAGUGUUAGGGGGUUUCCGCCCCUUAGUGCUGCAGCUAACGCAUUAAGCACUCCGCCUGGGGAGUACGACCCGCAAGGUUGAAACUCAGAGGAAUUGGACGG
rnacentral:rRNA from 1 species